GCUUCCUCUUGUUCGCCUUCCACUGCUUCACUAUGUAGGCUACUGCCUCGCCCAUCGGUGCUCUCCGGUCCUCCUUGAAGUUCCACAGCUCCGGUAUGGGGUACCUGCCGCUUGGAUUGUACUCGUUCAUCUCAAGAAGGGCCUUGACGACCACAUCGUGCGCCUGCACACCCAGUUCAGCCUUCAAAGCUUGCAGCUUCUCAUCAUCCUCCCGAAUUAUUUCCUGCACCAUCGAGUGAGUGUUUUAGACACAGCAAGCAGGCCAAGCAUGCUUCACCACAGAGCUUGUAUUGAAUUCCAGUGCAAGUGUCAAACCGAAAUGGUUUCACACCACAUUCUUGGAAAAGAAGAAUACUGCAGUGCUAAUUGUGGGAAGUACUAAUGUUGACAAAGUUGGAUGGCAGAAGCACAAAGAAUAUGCUAAAAACAAUUACUUGGCUACUGUCUGAGCAAUCAAAGUGACCCGAUCAAUGCACACAAGAUAAACUUGAAAGUUGACUUAUUUGGGAUAUAAUUCGGUUAAAAUUAAAUCCAGAACAGAUGAAUAAUAUUCUCAAGGAAGUGCAGUAACAGUUGGCUCCAGUAAAAUUAUUUCAAACUUUUUGUAUGUUUGCUUACAAACCGGCUUUCUUCCUGAAUUACAAAACUGAAAAUGUUCUUUUACAUCCUAUUCAAAAAGAUCAAUGGUAUUUACAAUUCAUUCA